rnacentral:rRNA from 1 species
GAUGAACGCUGGCGGCGUGCCUAAUACAUGCAAGUCGAGCGAACAGACGAGGAGCUUGCUCCUCUGACGUUAGCGGCGGACGGGUGAGUAACACGUGGAUAACCUACCUAUAAGACUGGGAUAACUUCGGGAAACCGGAGCUAAUACCGGAUAAUAUAUUGAACCGCAUGGUUCAAUAGUGAAAGACGGUUUUGCUGUCACUUAUAGAUGGAUCCGCGCCGCAUUAGCUAGUUGGUAAGGUAACGGCCUACCAAGGCAACGAUGCGUAGCCGACCUGAGAGGAUGAUCGGCCACACUGGAACUGAGACACGGUCCAGACUCCUACGGGAGGCAGCAGUAGGGAAUCUUCGGCAAUGGGCGAAAGCUUGACGGAGCAACGCCGCGUGAGUGAUGAAGGUCUUCGGAUCGUAAAACUCUGUUAUUAGGGAAGAACAAAUGUGGAAGUAACUAUGCACGUCUUGACGGUACCUAAUCAGAAAGCCACGGCUAACUACGUG